rnacentral:tRNA from 1 species
GCUGUCAUAGCUCAGGGGUAGAGCACUUCAUUGGUAAUGAAGAGGUCACAGGUUCAAAUCCCGUUGGCAGCACCA